CGCGGAAGUGUUCCCUUACAUGGCAAAAGGGACUUUGCAGUUGUGAUUAAGGAUCACAUGAAGUUGGGAAGAAUAUUCUGUACAGUAUUAACAAGGGGGCGCUCAAUGUUAUCAUGAGAGAGGGGAAAGGGUUACAGUCAGAAAAGUAGAUGUGUCACAGAAGCUAAGUUUGGAGAGAUGAACUUGACGUAAGCCAAGGAAUGCAGGCAGAUUCUAGAAAAGCAAAGAAAUGAAUUCUCCAUGAGAGCCUCCAGAAGGGACACAAUUCUGCCAGCACCUUGAGUUGAGCCCAUAAAACCCAUUUCUGACUUCUGACCUCCAGAAGUGUAAGAACCCUGGGAAGUAUGCUUGGCUGUAAGAUGAUAUUUCUUAGACCCUUUUGCAAUUAGAUGUGGCCGGUGAGAUAGAAUAGAACAGAAGAAAAGAAACAUGGAGAGAAAAUUGAGGAACAGGAAAGAGACAAAACAAAACAAAACAGCGUUAAGAUUCUAGGGGUGGUGUAUUCCCUCAAGUCUUUCAAAGAACAAAACGUCCGAUCUAUUCUGCUAUCAUGUGUGUUUUGGCGACACAAAUGAGCUCACAGACAAUUGGCAUUAUGCCAGGCAUCAAACCAUUUCAGGCAUCACCCCAGCCCUCAGGAAGUUUCUAUAAGAUGAAGUAAUGAUUACACAGAAGAAACAACUGGGAAGACAGGCAAAGACAAGACCACUUCUGAUGACAUGUAAAAUUACACGACAAGGACUAUGGCAAGAACUGAAGGAUGAGGGUGCCAUCCAAAGGUCAAAUUAAUACAAUUGUCUCAUUACCCACACACAAGAGACUAAAUGUUUGAAACUACAGUAAUUUUCCUUAUGAAUACAGUUCAGAAAUUAUGCAUUUUCCUGGCCAUGUAAAUGCAACCAAAUGAUUGGUUCUGAACAUCUGGAACACUUUUGGCCACGUCGAACUUGGAACAAAGCAUUUGGCAUCCCUUUUAAGGGUGUGUGCUUCCACAAUUUAGGGAGGAAUCCCCGCUAGAAUUCCACAUUUAAAAGCAAAUACAAUUUUUAAUAUGCUGAAAGAGUACUAUCCUGUGUGGUAGAGGAACACCCAGCUAAUAAAUGAUGGAGCCCAGGAUAACCCAAAUGUCAACGUGGCCCAUCUCCUGUGGAGUGAGGAUGCAUUUAGAGACUUCAAUGAUUUUGCUUUCUUCGUGGAACCCAUAUGCUCUUAAAUAUUCCAGAUAUUAUUAAAAAUUAACUCGAAUAGAAGUGGACUCAAAAUAUUACAGUGUUCCUUUAAUGAUUUUUUCGGACACUGAUGUAGAAAAAGAGCUGUGUCCUUUUAUCAACAUGGCUAUUUCAAAUGUGCUCUCGUAAAUUCUUGUGUAGUAUUGAUCACUUCUUUAUAUUUUCUGUAUAAGAAUUAUGUACCAAGUGCAUUAAAAUAUAUUUAAAUUUUGCUCCUUGUAAGAAUUAUUCCUCGUGGUCAGUGAAAGAAUAUAGAAAAUAGAACCUUGAGCUGCG